AGCUCCGUCGAGAGGGUCUCCAUCCACACAGCGGUGUUUGUUGUGUCGUCGUUUCCCUCUCACUGUAUCGAGUGAAAUCCGGUGAUUGUUGUCAUACGAGGAAAAAGGAAAGCUACGAAUCACGAAGUUCGCGUCGACGGAGUACGGAUAGGAAUUGAUAUUCUCGACUGGGAACUCGAAAAGCUCAAGAGAUCGACAUGGACUUCUUCGGUUACGCUUAUGCCGCCGCAAUCAGCCUCGGCGGAUUGAUGGGCUAUCUCAAGGCCGGGAGUGUUAUGUCAUUGUGUGCAGGUCUUACGUUUGGAUCACUUGCUGCCUACGGUGCCAAGCAAAUCAGCGAGGACCCUACGAAGAUCCAUAUUCUGCUAUUCGUCUCCAGUGUAUUGAGUAUUCUCAUGGGUUAUCGGUUUGCCAACUCGGGGAAAUUCAUGCCAGCUGGUUUGACCUGCAUGCUCAGCUUGGCGACCGUCGCCAGGCUGAUUGUGACUAGGGUACUGCUGUGAGACCGA
rnacentral:misc_RNA from 1 species